rnacentral:rRNA from 1 species
ACCAGGUCAAGACAUGGGCGUGAUUGACAGGCUAAUGGCUUUUCUCGAUUCCAUGGAUGGUGGUGCAUGGUCGCACUUAGUUGGUGCAGUGAUUUGUCAGGUUUAUUCCGGUAACGAACGAGACCUCGGCCUUGUAAAUAGCUAUGCUGCUUACAGGGACAUUGGCGGCUACGCCAAGGAAGCUCGAGGCAAUUGCAGAUCUGGAAUGCCCUUAGAUGUCCUGGGUCGCACGCGUGCUACAAUGACGCCACGAACGAGCUUGCGUGAUGAAAGUUACGCAUAAUCAGCAGUCGGCGUCUUAAGGGAUAGUCUCUUGUAACUGUGGGACUCCAACUAGGAAUGUCUCGUAAGCACAAGUCAACAUCUUGUGUUGAUUACGUCCCUGCUCUGGUACACACCGCCCGUCGCUCCUACCGAUCGAGUGUUUGGUGAAUUUGAUGGACGUAAGGAAGUCAAAUAAACUGAGCACUAGAGAGAGAGCGACGGGAGCGUAGAAGGCU